rnacentral:lncRNA from 1 species
GUCAAUAUAUUAUUUUGUUAUUAAAAUCUCUUUUAUGGAAGGGAAAGCGUAAUAUGGUGUUUCAAAUCAAGUAAUGCAAUGAAUCAAAUUUGUAGAAUAUAGGAUACAGCAGAUAUAUCUUUAAUGUUUUCAAUCUAAAUGUUAUAUUAUGUGUUCAAAUAUACGAAAUAACAUUUUCAACAUCAUUAUCAAGUAGGAACAACCCGAAAAUACAGCCACAAAAAGCAAUAUACAACGUCAUUCAGCAACCAUUUUUGCAUCCCAGGUAAAAAUCGGAUAAAAUGGCUCCCAUUGAGAAUCUUGGAUGACAACAAUUUUUAUAAAAUAAAUUUGUAUUCAAAAUCGUGAAAUGAAUG